rnacentral:lncRNA from 1 species
AAUCAUUGAUAUUGAUGUUUUAAUGGAAACAUAGAACAAGAUUUUGGGCUUGAUCUGUUGUGAUGCUUAAGUGUCAUAAAGAGGCACUAAGCAAGUGAGUGUUGGGACAUCACUUAGAGACAUUGGACUAGAUCCUUGGGAUGCUAGUGACCUUGCCAUGUUAGAGACAUGAGGAUUGGAUACUUGAGACUUGGACUAUGCUUGCUUGCCAUUUGUGCUCAUUCGCACAUGCUUGUGAGGGUCGCUCCCUACAAGCCNNN